AUUGAACGCUGGCGGCAGGCCUAACACAUGCAAGUCGAGCGGAGCGUCGGACGGGUGAGUAAUGCCUAGUAAUCUGCCUGUUAGUGGGCGAUCAAGUCCGGAAGCGGGCGAUAAUACCGCAUGCUAGAAGAUGGCCUUCGGUCGGAUUAGCUAGUUGGUGGGGUAGAGGCCUACCAAGGCGACGAUCCGUAACUGGUCUGAGAGGAUGAUCAGUCACACUGGAACUGAGACACGGUCCAGACUCCUACGGGAGGCAGCAGGGGGGAAUAUUGGACAAUGGGCGAAAGCCUGAUCCAGCCAUGCCGCGUGUGUGAAGAAGGUCUUCGGAUUGUAAAGCACUUUAAGUUGGGAGGCGUUACCAACAGAAUAAGCACCGGCUAACUUCGUGCCAGCAGCCGCGGUAAUAC
rnacentral:rRNA from 1 species